CCUCUCUUGAGCUCUCGAAGGUCAUAAUUUGGAAAUCAUUCUUUUCCUGUGAAAACCGGAAAGCUCAUUUUUUUCCCUGUUCUUUUGAUAGGAGCUGUAAUAAAAGUUCCCAUAGGCAAGGGCUUUUGAUUUGAUAGGAUGCAGUGGCUGUCUUUUGAGGGAAGUCCUGGAAAAUGCAUUGCUGCUUUUUUUUUUUUUUUUUUUCUCUCAGUUGCAUGUGUCUUUUCUCCUCUGAGCUUCAUGUCCAAGCAUGAUGUCCCCCAUAUGUCUUCGGGACAUCCCAGGUCCUUUUGCAAAUGGACACUACAGAAGAAACAAAAACUGGUUGGAGUGCAUAAAGGAUCUUUCAGGAACGUCCUAAAGGGGCUGUUUGAGAGGCACUAAAUUCUAAAGUAUUUGCUGACAUUUAUGGUCCAGCUUCAAAUUAUUAAAUGUCCUUCUGAUCACGUGAUGCCAUGUUUUGCAUGGUGUGACAUAUCUGUCCUCUUUUAAAUGCGUAGGAAUUGGCCACACUCUCAUUUCGCUGGUGGGUUUGCAGAAGCCUUAUCGCAGGACAGCCAGAAUGAUUGAUGAGUGCUUUUCAGGUAGAGAAAUGCUGCCAGCUGGGUGUGUAUUUUUUCUUACCUAGAGUUUUGCUUCUUAAUUUUCUGUUUCAGUUGAGAAUAAUCCCUUUUCGUGCUAGUAGCCAUAAUCAUAUUAUAAGAGACUUGAAAAUUGUCAUUUCCCAGUAGUAUUUCUCACAGUGUAAGCAUUUUUAUUUAAUGUAAGAUUGCUUUCCUAUUUUUUUUUUCCUACGCUGUGGGAGAUACAGACCAACAUUUAGAUUUCCUAGUUUUAAUUGGAAGAACUCAGGUCACGUUGUGGUCAAGUGAAGUUAGAGUGAUGAGGGGAAUCUGGACUCCAUCUGAAAUGGCAGCAAUAUGAGAUGUGAUGUACCUUGGCAGUUUUUAAAAAGUAAGGCAAAUUGUGCCUGAGAAUCUGAUGGCUUUGGUAAAUAUGGGAUCUAGUGAGGCAGUAUUCAUUUCUGCCUCUCCCCCUGUAUUCAUUUGAUCCUGUUUGUUUUUUUCUGUCUUCUGAAAUGUACUCUAGAGACAGCCAUUCUUGAAAGAACCGCAUGCCUCUCCCUGGCUGGACAGGCCCAGAGAGGGAGAUAAGCAAGCCAUUCGUAGAUACUUAUUUUCAAAAUUCAGAUGGGCCUUCAAGGCAAUUAAUGUGAGUUAGGUUCUAUCAAAUGUGCAUCUAGAGAUGUUUGAUAACUUUAGUGCCCAUGAUACCCCAACUCACGCUACGUUUUUAAAAUCAGUGAUGGGCAACAUGUUAUAACAUUGAUCUUAGAUGAAUGCUACCUAAACCUGGUAUAUAUAUAUUUUUUCCCAGCAGUUAACUGAGCCAUGACAUCAACAUCAGUUCACAUCACUUUGGUUACAGUUCAGUCAUUUUGAGAAAGGUUUCAGAGCCUUUUUAAAUGAAAAGUUCAUGUAAACAUACCAUCUCCCCUAAUAUUGAACCAUUUCAUACCAGGAAUGUCAGUUUUGAAGCUAAAAGACUGUUCCACAGUAAUUCCCACGGCAUUAAAAAAGAAUCAGUUUACGAAAAAGAACUAAAAAACUCUGAAGAAUUGAAAAAAAAAAGGGGGGGGGGGCCAACUGGGUACUAAGGAGCAAUUUGGGAUUAUGUUGAUCCUCCCAGGCUGGCAGUCUCCGGGCAGCAGAGUUCACACAGCUGGAUCAGAGUUCCACCCUGUAGUUUCUCUUUCCACUUGGACAGAAAUGGAGGUGUUGGGCCUAUAAUCUGGUCCUUGCCCAAAGCCAAGUUAGUGUUAUGCAGUGUUUCUGUUUUGAACACAUUUGUCCUUAUUUUCCCUUUUCUCUGUUUGCCCACUAGAAGGGAAAAAAAUCAUCAGAGGUACUGCUGGGGUGGAGCCACACUGAUUGCAAUGCCCCAGAGUUUUCUAGGUUAACAAAUUAGAGCUUUUCAGCCGGCUGAGUAGGGGUGGGCUGCAGCUGCUCUGUCCUGCCUUUCUCGAGUUCCCUUCCCACUGCAGAAGAGAAAGGAGAAGCCUGGUUGCUGAGCUUGGAGGACAUGCUAGUUGGGGAGCAUGAGGACAGUUGACAGCCGCUGUGUCUUUUUGUGGGGAGAGGAUUUACAGUGUAUUCUUGGACCGUGUGGGAUGAAAAAUCCCCACCUUUUUAGUUGGCUACUUUUGUGACAUUGCUGUGUGUGCCUCCGAGCUCGGCAGUCCUGGGCUGGAGAGGAUGGUGUGGAUUAAGAUUCGGGUGAGGAUGGAUGGGGAGGAGGUUGCAGCCUCUUGGGCUCCAUCAGAAGUGGAGUCAGCAUCCAGGGAGGCCGAGACAAACCCUUUGGCCGGUGUCCUUAAGCUCUCCGGGUGAAUUAGAAAGGAUCUUGGUCAAUUGUGUGGGAGUUGAGAAAACAAUGAGCCAGCUUGAUUUGCCUUGGAGGAAUAAAAUUUCUCAUGCUGCCUCCUCCUGCUUCUCUCUGCUGGGGGUGUGGAAGAAGCAGCGAGGGGAAGUGGGAGGUUUUCUGCUGGAGUUUAUUGAAAAAACAGCUGCCCUAUUCUAUCCAUUUCCCUCCCUCGCUAACCUUCGUCGCGCCCCAUCCUUUCUGUGGCAGGAUAUAACUAUGCUGUAAACUUUGGCAGUGGUGAAGCAUGUUAAUACAUUUUGAAACAAGAACUUUUUUUGGCAUGGAGCUGUUAGGUUAAAGCUGGAAGAAAAAGGAUAAAUAAAAUUUGAUAUAGUCAUUCUAGAAAUGGUUUGUAUUUGUCCAGAAGAGAGUCAGAGUUCAGUGGGUUUGUGUCUAAAAGAGCCAAACUGAGAUAAGGUAACGAGCCAGUAUUCCAAACUGGCAAGUGCGUGCCAGAACUUGAAAGGAGGUUUGCAGCUCCGCCUUUAUUAUCAUAACCUCUUGAACAGAAUAUGCCAUUUGAAACGACAGUAAAUGCUGCUCAGUGGAUAAGUUUAUGACCUAGUUUUUAACCAAGAGCACUUCUGAGAUUGAACGGUGCAGAGAAGAGCAAAGGAGCUUGGUCACCAUUGGCGAGAAGUUCUGUGCAAAUCAGGAGCUGGGGGCUAAUUAGAACCCCGAGACAUUAAGGAGCAGCUGUUUGAUGGUGUGAACUUUUGCACAGAGGUUUUCAAGAGGCUAAUUCUCCUUGGAAGUCUGUUUGCAAAGUGGUUCUUUCCUGGCGGUUGCUUCAUUCUUCUUCGCAGGCCUAUUUUCACUGAGUGGGAGCGUUUUGUGCCAAACCUAGCAAUGACCUUAUGGCGCCCGGAGCUGCCGCAGAGCCUGACCCAGCACUGAAUGUGGAGGGAGGGUCUUUUUUCAGCUCUGUUGGCUCUGGGGUCGGCCCACACCGCAGAGCUGCAGUUGAGGAACAGAAAGGAAGGGGGAUGUCCACAGAAUGUUUCUUCUGCCUUUCCCUCUCGUAAACUGCAUGCUCAGCCCCCUCGUCCCUCCUGCCUUCUCUGAACUCGUACACUCACUACCCGUCCCCUUCUGCAUUCUGUUAAAUCUGAACUCACUUUCUUGUUCCAUCCAUUUAACAUGGGAGAAGAUGUUUUUCAGGGGAGAUUUUGAGAAAUGAAUUGAAGUGUGUCUAAAGUUCACCAAUGGUGUAGAUCUUAGGGUAUGGUUAGCACAUUUUUGCAGCCCCCUCGCCCCCCAGUUCUUCCUUUGUCUUUUCCUGCCUCCCUCCUUCCUUCACAGUUGUUUCUCUUUCUAUCCUCCCACUUGCAUUUGCUUUUACAGUGGAACUACUAAAGUAAACAUACUUAGACAUGUUUUAGAAAGUAAAAUCCCUCUCUAAAAUGUACCAUUAAGGGCACCAUGCAGAGUCUGGGAUCCAUGAGAAAUUGUAGGCUUAAAAGGG
rnacentral:lncRNA from 1 species